GGAGAGAUGGAUGAGCGGUCUAAGUCGCACGCCUGGAAAGCGUGUACAGGCGAAUAGCCUGUCGGGGGUUCGAAUCCCCCUCUCUCCG
rnacentral:tRNA from 1 species